UACGUAGGCAGCGAGCGUUGUUCGGAAUUACUGGGCGUAAAGAGUGUGUAGGCGGUGCUCUAAGUUCGGUGUGAAAUCUCCUGGCUUAACUGGGAGGGUGCGCCGGAAACUGGGGUGCUCGAGCGUGGGAGAGGAAAGCGGAAUUCCUGGUGUAGCGGUGAAAUGCGUAGAUAUCAGGAGGAACACCUGUGGUGUAGACAGCUUUCUGGACCAUUGCUGACGCUGAGGCGCGAAAGCGUGGGGAGCAAACAGG
rnacentral:rRNA from 1 species